UUUCCGUAGGUGAACUGCGGAAGGAUCAUUGUCGAU
rnacentral:rRNA from 3 species